GGGUUGUGAGGUUAAGCGACUAAGCGUACACGGUGGAUGCCCUGGCAGUCAGAGGCGAUGAAGGACGUGCUAAUCUGCGAUAAGCGUCGGUAAGGUGAUAUGAACCGUUAUAACCGGCGAUUUCCGAAUGGGGAAACCCAGUGUGUUUCGACACACUAUCAUUAACUGAAUCCAUAGGUUAAUGAGGCGAACCGGGGGAACUGAAACAUCUAAGUACCCCGAGGAAAAGAAAUCAACCGAGAUUCCCCCAGUAGCGGCGAGCGAACGGGGAGCAGCCCAGAGCCUGAAUCAGUGUGUGUGUUAGUGGAAGCGUCUGGAAAGGCGCGCGAUACAGGGUGACAGCCCCGUACACAAAAAUGCACAUGCUGUGAGCUCGAUGAGUAGGGCGGGACACGUGGUAUCCUGUCUGAAUAUGGGGGGACCAUCCUCCAAGGCUAAAUACUCCUGACUGACCGAUAGUGAACCAGUACCGUGAGGGAAAGGCGAAAAGAACCCCGGCGAGGGGAGUGAAAAAGAACCUGAAACCGUGUACGUACAAGCAGUGGGAGCACGCUUAGGCGUGUGACUGCGUACCUUUUGUAUAAUGGGUCAGCGACUUAUAUUCUGUAGCAAGGUUAACCGAAUAGGGGAGCCGAAGGGAAACCGAGUCUUAACUGGGCGUUAAGUUGCAGGGUAUAGACCCGAAACCCGGUGAUCUAGCCAUGGGCAGGUUGAAGGUUGGGUAACACUAACUGGAGGACCGAACCGACUAAUGUUGAAAAAUUAGCGGAUGACUUGUGGCUGGGGGUGAAAGGCCAAUCAAACCGGGAGAUAGCUGGUUCUCCCCGAAAGCUAUUUAGGUAGCGCCUCGUGAAUUCAUCUCCGGGGGUAGAGCACUGUUUCGGCAAGGGGGUCAUCCCGACUUACCAACCCGAUGCAAACUGCGAAUACCGGAGAAUGUUAUCACGGGAGACACACGGCGGGUGCUAACGUCCGUCGUGAAGAGGGAAACAACCCAGACCGCCAGCUAAGGUCCCAAAGUCAUGGUUAAGUGGGAAACGAUGUGGGAAGGCCCAGACAGCCAGGAUGUUGGCUUAGAAGCAGCCAUCAUUUAAAGAAAGCGUAAUAGCUCACUGGUCGAGUCGGCCUGCGCGGAAGAUGUAACGGGGCUAAACCAUGCACCGAAGCUGCGGCAGCGACACUAUGUGUUGUUGGGUAGGGGAGCGUUCUGUAAGCCUGUGAAGGUGUGCUGUGAGGCAUGCUGGAGGUAUCAGAAGUGCGAAUGCUGACAUAAGUAACGAUAAAGCGGGUGAAAAGCCCGCUCGCCGGAAGACCAAGGGUUCCUGUCCAACGUUAAUCGGGGCAGGGUGAGUCGACCCCUAAGGCGAGGCCGAAAGGCGUAGUCGAUGGGAAACAGGUUAAUAUUCCUGUACUUGGUGUUACUGCGAAGGGGGGACGGAGAAGGCUAUGUUGGCCGGGCGACGGUUGUCCCGGUUUAAGCGUGUAGGCUGGUUUUCCAGGCAAAUCCGGAAAAUCAAGGCUGAGGCGUGAUGACGAGGCACUACGGUGCUGAAGCAACAAAUGCCCUGCUUCCAGGAAAAGCCUCUAAGCAUCAGGUAACAUCAAAUCGUACCCCAAACCGACACAGGUGGUCAGGUAGAGAAUACCAAGGCGCUUGAGAGAACUCGGGUGAAGGAACUAGGCAAAAUGGUGCCGUAACUUCGGGAGAAGGCACGCUGAUAUGUAGGUGAAGUCCCUUGCGGAUGGAGCUGAAAUCAGUCGAAGAUACCAGCUGGCUGCAACUGUUUAUUAAAAACACAGCACUGUGCAAACACG
rnacentral:rRNA from 1 species